rnacentral:rRNA from 1 species
CCAAUUUGGAGAGUUUGAUCCUGGCUCAGGACGAACGCUGGCGGCAUGCCUAAUACAUGCAAGUCGAGCGGAGUCGUUUUGAAAGCUUGCUUUCAAAACGACUUAGCGGCGGACGGGUGAGUAACACGUAGGUAACCUGCCUGUAAGACUGGGAUAACUACCGGAAACGGUAGCU